rnacentral:rRNA from 1 species
CUAAGAAUCUUGCGCAAUGGGCGAAAGCCUGACGCAGCAAUUCCGCGUGGGGGACGAAGGCCCUCGGGUCGUAAACCCCUUUUGCGAGGGAAGAAGUUCUGACGGUACCUCGCGAAUAAGACACGGCUAACUACGUGCCAGCAGCCGCGGUAAUACGUAGGUGUCAAGCGUUGUCCGGAUUUAUUGGGCGUAAAGCGCCCGCAGGCGGCUUGCCAAGUUCGAUGUGAAAUCUCCCGGCUUAACUGGGAGGGUGCAUCGAAAACUGGCAGGCUUGAGGCAGGGAGAGGGAUGUGGAAUUCCAGGUGUAGUGGUGAAAUGCGUAGAUAUCUGGCGGAACACCAGUUGCGAAGGCGGCAUCCUGGCCCUGUCCUGACGCUCAGGGGCGAAAGCGUGGGGAGCAAACCGG